AUGGAAUAAUACUUGCUGAUGUUGAACAAACGUUAGGCCAACGUAGUAAUACAAACUGUUAGCAAACGUUGGAACUUCGUUGGUUUAAUCUAUAAACCUUUUUAUCCAUAUGAAGGAAACUAAAAUCCCUUCCAGUCAACAACUGCAAUAUAACUCCAGGUUUUAAAAUCAGUUCAAAAUGGCGAAACUAUUACUUUUUUAAAUGUUGCAAUUGUUGCGUUUUUCAUUUCAACUAUACCAUGUUGUGCCUUGCAUACUACCCGAAAAUUUUGUAUUUUGCCACUUUCUCUCUAUCUUCCUGAACAUGCAUGAAAUAUUUGCCAAUGGAUGUUUCAGUAACCAACAACCAAUCAGUCUCUCCAGGAAUUGUACUUCUGAAUUUUACCCAAAUUUUAAUGAAUGCAAUCAACAUAUCCAUGUUACCCAAUUUUCUUAAAUAAUGUAAAUACAAAGGUAUGAUUAAAUAUAAUUUAUUAUUAGCUAGACAAACAGCAAAGUUUUAAAAAAUCUGUUUUGUAUCUAUAC
rnacentral:lncRNA from 1 species